rnacentral:lncRNA from 1 species
CAAAGGCAUAUCAUAACUCAAGUUUUGUGAGCAAAGGGUGUGCACUGUAGCCAUGGCUAAAGCUCUCCUCGUUUCACCUUCCUACUUCAUCUUCUUCAUCUUCCUCAUUUUCUCUUCUGCCACAGUUUCAAUUUUCGGAGAAGAAUACAGCUAUGUCAAAAGUAUCAAUCCUAAGAAAAUGAAUAUGUUGAAGGAAAAGGUAACACACUUUCAACUUUAUUGGCAAGAUGUUGUUAGUGGGUCUAAUGCAACAUCGGUUACAGUGCUUGAAGAAGUGAAUAACUCGUCAACAUUGUUUGGUUCGGUUAGUAUAAUUGAUAACUCGUUAACCGUUGGGCCAAAUUUGAGCUCAAAAACGGUUGGAAAGUCCCAAGGGUUAUACGCAUCUACGGGACUAGAAGAAACUUCAUUAUUGAUGGUUAUGAAUUUUGCAUUCACUGAUGGCAAGUACAACGGUAGCACAUUCACCGUGGUAGGACGGAACAAUGUAAAUGCUAAGGUGAGGGAGAUGCCAAUAAUCGGUGGUAGUGGGCUUUUCCGAUUUGCUAGAGGCUAUGUUCUAGCAUCAACUUACUCAUUCAGCGACAACGGAGAUGGCACUAUUGAAUACAAUUGUUAUGUUAUACAUUAUUGAUAUUUUUUAUCUUUUUCUAGUUUUUUCAUGGAGCUUUGGUCCACAAUAGUGAUAUACUUAAAUAAUUGUGUGUUCCCACUAUAACUAAGUGAGAUUAUCUAGUUUUGUUUAAUUUGAAUAAAGGUGACUCUUCACCUAAUUUAAUGUAAGCAUAUUAUAAUAAAAUAAAAUGCUUAUUUGCGUGCUUAAUUACUUUCUUGAAAUUUGUUAAACUAUACUUUAUUCUUAAAAAAUAAAAAAAAUAUUGGAGAGAAGUAGAUUUCAAAGCUCAUAUCAACAAAGUUGAAAUGGUAUCACUUUUCUAUUCAACUUAGCCACUUUUUGUGAGUUGAUUUGAUAUGUUUAAAUUUUCACACAUAUAGCUUUUGAAUAUAAGGCUAAUUGGGUGGACUACCUUUACUUUGUUUAAUAAGAAUGACAUAUGUCUUUGAUUUCACAUGACUCAAAUUGUUUUAACCAAACUAAAAUAUAUUCAACAUCCACUAAUUUUUAGUCAUAUAUAAUGAUAAUGAAGUUAGGAAAAAAAAAACUAAAAAAUUUGAGCAACAUUCCCAUUUAUAAAAAUGUUUUGAUGAAAAUUAUAAAUUUUAUUACUUUGACAUGAUACAUAAGUUUAACUUUUUCUUUUGUUUCAUCUAAGAUAUGAUUUAAUUGAAAAUAUUUGAAAAGAAGAUAGGAUUCUUAAACAACAACCUUUUCCCAUUAUUUACAAAUUCUACAAGGUCCAUAGCUAGGGUUUGGAUCAAAAUGGCUAAAAAUUAAUGUCAUCUCAAUUUGGUUCAUUUUUUAGAUAAGCAAUCAUGAUGAUGUUGAAUAAGUUCUUGUGUCCAUAACAAGCAAGCAACUAUAAUGGAACAAGACCAUUUGUAUUUUUUGUUGCCAUUUGUAUGGUCCAAUAUCUUGGGCCCAUCACAUUUUGAGCCAUAGCCUAAUGGGCUUUUCACCCCAUGAUGUGGUUACCAAUUAAAAAUUGGACCUCAUUAGGGUUCACCAAAUUUAAAGCCCCUUAAGACCCUUGAAGAUUAAGUGGAAAUAACCAUUUGUCACAAAUGAAAAGUGAGAUAGAAACUUAUAUUUAAAAUUUUAAAUGGAAAGACCCUUGAACACUGAUUUUUAAUGUUAGUGAAUGAAAGAAAAAUCAAAUAACUCUCAUUUCAAGCAUUUAAGAGUACCAUCUCCUAGAAAACUGAUAAAAUAACCCUAUUAGAUAAUUUGGUUAGAAAAAAGAAAAUAUGAAGGGUCUGAUAUAUCAUUGUCAAACAACGCAUAAAAAAAAAACUAUAAAAGGACGAAUUUUCAUUGUAGGAUAAAGGAGAAUUUCUUAUUUUCAAUAAAUAAAAAAAUUUAAAAGUUUUGCAGCUUCAAUAAGUUCUAAUAAAUUUUAUCUUUUAUAUAUAAAUUAUUAUUAUUAUUAUUUUAUGAUUUUAAAAAAAUAUAUGAAAUAUGUUCAAAUGGGUAUUUAAUUAUAAAUAAAUGAUAACUAUUCUACUAUUUCUCUAAUACAAAAAUUAAAAAAAAACUAUUUGAAUAUUUUUAAAUGAAUUUCACAUUCAAAAAACUUUAAAUCAUUUUUUUUUUCUCUUCUUGGUUGUGAAAUAGUAGAUGAUGAAAAAUUAACCAUAAAUGAUUAAUUAUCAUCAUAAGUUUAAUCUUUAUCAAUUAUCCUUGUCCUAUUAAAGCAAGGUGACAAGUUGAAUUAAUGUGAUUAGGUUUAUGUAAGUUCAAAUCAAUUGUCCUCAUCCUUGUAUGAAAGUCAUGGACUCAUGGCAUGCGGCUAUAGCCCAUUGAAGGUAUAGAAGUAGUGUUAUUAAAGAUCAAACUUUAAGUAAAAAAAUUUUAAAGUAUUUUUUAAUAUUUUAUGGGAUACUAUUUUUAAAAAAUAAUAUUAAUUAAAUAAAAAAUCCUAACACUAAAACCCUGUAGAAAGAAGUUGGGAACAAUGCAUGCAUGUGCAUGUAUUUCAUGAGUUAUCUCUGAGUAUUGCCAUCCGUUGCCACUAAUUUUUUAGUCACCCUUUUUUCCCCUGAGAGAAUGGAGUGGAUGCCUUGGUGGAGCCUGUUUGCCAUCCAAAUGGGAGAUUGAAAUGCCUCUCUAUCCCCACCUGCUGCAGCAUCUCUCUCUCUCUCUCAUAUUCUAUGAUGGAAUCUUUAGUCUAUAAGGUUGAUUUUUUGAAUGCCCAUUACCAGCUGAUUUUUGAAGGAAAGGAAUUGAAUAUUAAUUCUCAUAUGGUCUCUCUCUCUUUCAUAUUCUUUGAAGAAUCUAUAAUCUAUAGAGUUGAUCACUUUUAAAUGCCCAUGAGCAGCUGAUUUUUGAAGGAAAGUGAUUGAAUAUUAAUGGCUGUGAGACCCAUUCUCAUAUCUUCUCUCUCCCUCUCCCCCUUUCUCUCUCAUAUUCUAUGAUAGAAUCCACAGUCAAUAGGAUUGAUUUUUUUUUUUUUUAAUGCCCAUGAGCAGCUGAUUUUUGAAGGAAAGUGAUUGAAUAUUAAUGGUUGUGAGACCCAUGCACUCUCAUAUGUUCUCUUUAUCUCCCCCUCUCUCUCAUAUUAUAUUAUAGAAUCUAUAAUCUAUAGGGUUGAUUUUUUUUAAUGCCCAUGAGCAGCUGAUUUUUGAAGGAAGGUGGUUGAAUCUUAAUGGGUUGUGAGACCCAUUAAUGUAGAGAGGAACUCAAAAUCCUAAUAAAAAUGUAAUUCAAUUAAUGAUGGGUUUUUAAUUCAUAUUCUCAUUUUUAAUAAUUAAUUCAAAUAAAAUAACAAAUUAAAAGUAAAAUAGAUUUUUUAAUUUCAUUUUUUGUUUCAAUGUCUCAAACAUAUGUAAAAGAUAUGAUGAUUAUUUUUAAGGUUUAUAAAACAAUUCUAAAAAAAGUAGAUUUUUAAAAAAUAUUUAAAAGUAAGGUGUUUGAUAAAUCAACUUAAUUACUUAAUUUUAAUUAUUAAAUAAAUAAAAUAUAUUUUAUAAAAUAAUUUAAUAUUAAAAUUAUUUUUUAUUUUUAAUAUUAAAUUAAAUAAUUAAUUUAUAUUUAAUUUCAAAACCUUUUCACCUCAUUUUUCCGUACCCAUGUAAACUAAUUAACAUAAAUACCGGACCUACUUGGGUCACAAGUUUGAAUGGUAAAAUGACAAUUUUAUCCAAUAGGAUGAAGGGUUUUGGCCCCCACAAUAAACCCUAGGGCCUACUUUGAUGGCGGCUGCCACCGUGGAGCCAGACACUUUUGUUAGGUGGGGCAUCAAGAGAAUUAUUAAUAUAUUAUAGUUAAGGUAAUUAAUAAUAUUUAUUAUUAUUAUUAAAAUUAAAUAAUUUUAAAUAUUAAUUAUUAAAAUGUAUGAAAUUAAACCAUCAUAAUACUAAAAAUAUUUUUUAAAAAAAGUUAGAUUAUAUAUAUAUAUAUAUAUAUAUAUAUAUAUAUCAAGAACAUUUAAAAGGAAAUUUCAAAAGAAACAAAAACUAGAAAAAAAAUCAUUAGAAAUUCUGAAUAAUUUUAAUUAUUUUGUAGCAAAAACCCUUAAAAGUUAUUUUUUAAAAAUUUAAGUACUUAUAUUAUAAAUUUUGAUAUCUUCGUGGAAAAUAUGUGCGUCUUUAAAUAUGAUAAUAGGACAAGGACAAUUGACAAAGAUUAAACUUAUGAUGAUAAUUAAUCAUUUAUGUCCAACUAGUCCAUGGUCUUUCCAAGUUUUCCUUCUUUCCAUUCAAAAACGGCAUGCUAUUACUAGUCGAUAGGACAUACAAAUUACCCAAAACCACCAAGUGCUCAAGGCAACUGGAGGGGCAUUUUGGUCAUUCUCGUUAGAAAUUUUCCCCAUUGUGAUGUGUCUUUGACUGGUUGGCAUCUAGGACUUGGUCUUUGCGCAGUUGGUAACUAUGACGGCUUGGAAAUUGGAAAAUAUUAUUGUACCGAAAAUGAAACAUUCAAUGUGUAUAUAUAGCCUAGGUUUUGUGAGCAAAUGUAUAUGACUCAAGUUUUGUGAGCAAAGGUAUAUCAUAACUCAGGUUUUGUGAGCAAAGGGUGUGCACUGUAGCCAUGGCUAAAGCUCUCCUCAUUUCACCUUCCUACUUCAUCUUCUUCAUCUUCUUCGUUUUCUCUUAUGCCACAAUCCCAGUUUUCGGAGAAGAAUAUAGCUAUGUCAAAACUGUUGAUUUUGAGAAAAUGAAUCUACCGAAGGAAAAGGUAACACACUUUCAACUUUAUUGGCAAGAUGUUGUUAGUGGGUCCAAUGCAACCUCUGUCACAGUGAUUCAACCAGUGAAUAACUCGUUACCAUUUUUUGGUAUGGUAAAUAUAAUUGAUAACUCAUUAACCGUUGGGCCAAAUUUGAGCUCAAAAACAGUUGGAAAGGCCCAAGGGCUUUAUGCAUCUACGGGACAAAAAGAAUCUUCAUUAUUGAUGGUUAUGAAUUUUGCAUUUACUGAUGGCAAAUACAAUGGUAGCACAUUCACCGUGGUAGGACGAAAUAAUGUAAAUGCUGAGGUGAGGGAAAUGCCGAUAAUCGGUGGCAGUGGGCUUUUCCGAUUUGCUAGAGGUUAUGCUUUAGCAUCAACUUACUCAUCCAACGACAAAGGAGAUGCCACUAUUGAAUACAAUUGUUAUGUCAUACAUUAUUGAUGUUUUUUCUUUUUCUUUUUUUAAUUUUUUGUGUGGAGUUUUGAUUCACAAUAGUGAUAUACUUAAAUAAUUGUGUGUUCCCACCAUAGGUAAGUGGGAUUCUCUAGUUUUGUUUAAUUUGAAUAAAUUAGGUGGCUUUUACUUCACCUAAUUGAAUGUAAGCAUACUUUAAUAAAAUAAAAUAAAAUGAUUAUUUAUGUGGAUUAAUUACUUUCUUGAAAUUUGUUAAACCAUACUUUACUCUAUUAUAAAAAAGUUGGAGAUAAGUAAAUUUAAAAGCUUAUAUCAACAAAGUUGAAGUGGCAUCACUUUUCUAUUCAACUUAUCUAGGCUUUGUUUGAUAAAAAUGACAUAAUUCUUUGAUUUCACAUGACCCAAAUUAUCUUAACCAAACUAAAAUAUAUUCAACUUUCACUAAUUUUUAGUCAUAUAUAAUGAUAAUGAAGUUAGAAAAAGCUCAAAAAUUUGUGGAGCAUUCCCAUUUACAAAAAUGUUUUUAAGAAAUGUUUUGAUGAAAAUUAUAAAUUUUAUUUACCUUGAUAUACAAGCUAACUUUUUCCUUUGUUUGACCUAAGAUAUCAUUUAAUUGAACAUAUUUCAAAAGAAGUUCAUUUAUUGCACCUCAUUGUUUACAUAUAACUCCACAUGAUGACUAGCUGCCUCCACCUCCAUUGGCCAUUCGGUAUAUAUUAUAAUAUUACCACAAAUUUUAAUAUUAUGAUGAUACAUGCAUAAACUUAAAUUCUAACAUUUAUUUAUUUAUUUAUUCUUUGUUAGUUUAUUUUUAUAGUUGGAGAUAUGAGUUUCAGACUAGUUCGAUUAGCAUGCACGUCUUAGCUCGGUAUAGUCAUCAUCUUGAUUGACUUACAACAUAUCAGGUAGUAAAAGUGUGAUUCAUUUCUUAUACUUGUUUCUCUAAACAAAUUCUAAAUCACUUAUUAUAUCUAACAUUUCUUUGGUACAGAUUAUAUGGCAACCUUAUGUUGAUGACAUGAAUGUUGGUCUUCCUGAUUAUUGUACUGCUGGGAAAUAUAUAUAGUGCACUAUCUCACCUUUGAUAUGUUUCCACAUAAUUGAAUGGUAUAGACCUGAUCGAGUAUUGCUGCAGUUUGGAUUUCAUCAAAGGAUUCCUCAGCCAUGUAAUAAUGAGUCAAUCUUACACAAAUGUGAUUUGAGAGGUAUACAUGAUGUUGAUUAGACUACUUGAUACGGAGACUACAUUCAAUGUUGGAUCUCUAGGCGUGAGCAUAUUGCUAGAGGCGAAAUGGUUUUAGGUUCAUUGGGGUAUCAUGAUCCAUACAUGGUGUGGUAUCGCUCCAUUACUAUUCGAUUUCUUACUCGAACUAGGUCCUUCCAUGAGGUACUGGUAAUUUUCAUGUUUUAUAUUUUUAUUAAAGUUUAUUUUAUUUUUAUAAGAAUUUAAUUUAUCUCCUAUUUGACUUACAGACUACCAGCAUACACCAGAUAUAUGAUAUUGCACCUCUAGAUGAUUUCCACAUUCGCAGACUAUGUAUGUAUUAGAGGCCAUACAUGAAAUGGAUCACUUAGAUGCUCCAUUUAAUGUUGAUGCUACUACACAGCUCCAACCUCGAUCAGGAGAUGUACGACCUACACGACAAGGGCCUCGUACAAGGGAGAUUAGGCAUACACCGGUUGUUACCUGAGUGCAACCAUUGAAUGACAUUAGUCCACCACCUCAUCAGCAGCCAAUAUCAUCCAUUACUCAAUCAAGAAGUGUAUGAACUAGAAGGGAAUGGGCUCACAUGAGAGGUAGUCUACCACCUCAUCAGCAGCCGAUAUCAUCCAUUACUCGAUCAGGAGGUGUAUGAACUAGAAAAGGAGCAGCUCAUACGAGAAGGACUACGCAUACAUUUGUUCUUGGAGAUGCAUCAUCGACUGACAUUAGCCCGCCACCUGUUGAGGAGACCCUUAUUACACCUAUGGAGGUGCCAUCCACACCACCCAUAGUAUUACUUGUUGCGUCAUCACCACAACCGAUAGAGGCUACAUUGGUUAAUGAGGAGUUAGUUCAUAUAGCAAAUGAUGAUAAGUGAGGAUAAAAGAAUGAUCGUGGUCGAGGACGUGGUAGGAGACGUGGUCGUGGAGUUCAUGAAGGGAUACAUGUUAGCCCCAUAGAGCCAAUAGUGGAACAUGCAUAUCAUGGACGUCCACAACGAACAAUAAAGGCUCAUUCAUGCAGUACACAUUGAGGACGUUACUACAUAUGACUUGUAUUUUGGAUACUAUUAGUAUUUUGCAUAUCAUUAUUUUGGACAAAUACUUAAGAUGUAUAUUUAUACUUGUUAUAUUUUGGAUUAACUAACUUUUUAUUAACGCAAGUUCUAUUGUAUUCUAUCUAUUUUGGACUUAUUUUACACAAAAUAGUAUUGUUACUAUUUUGGAAAGGUGCUGAUUUAAUUGACAUUUGGUUUACUUGUUUUCAUUGGUUUUGGAUUGAAUGUCAAAAUAUUGAAUAUAAUGUAUACAGGUGAUAAACUUUAAACAUUUGGUUAUAUAUAUAGAAGGUAAUAUUGAUUAAAAGAUAGAUUUUUUUUUCUUUUGUGGAAGGUGUCUCUUCAAGAGAUACAUUCGGCAUAAAUUCGAAAUUUUCCACUAUGUGUGGAAAUUGUAGUAAGUGUCUCUUGAAGAGACACUUACAGUAUAAACCUAAUUUUUAAAAAAUUAUGGAAGGUGUCUAUUCAAGAGACACCUUUAGUAUAAUUCCAUUUUUUUGGAAAUGUGGAAGGUAUCUCUUGAAGAGACACCUUCAGUAUAAAUUCGAAAUUUUCCCUAUGUAUGGAAAUUGUGAAAAGAGUCUCUUGAAAAGACGCUUUCAAUAUAAACCCAAUUUUUUUAAAAUUAUGGAAGGUGUCUCUUCAAGAAACACCUUUAGCAUAAAUUCAAAAUUUUCAACUAUGUAUGGAAAUUGUAGAAAAGAGACACUUUCAAUAUAAACCCAAUUUUUUUAAAAUUAUGGAAGAUGUCUCUUCAAAAGACUUCUUUAGUAUAAAUCCAUUUUUUAGGGAAUUAUUUCGAAAAUUUCAACUAUGUAUGGAAAUUGUGGAAAGUGUCUCUUGAAGAAACACUUUCAGUAUAAACCCAAUAUUUUUUUUUUUUAAAUUAUGGAUUUAGUAUAAAUCCAAUUUUUUGGGGAUUGUAGGUGUCUUUCAAAAGACAUCUUUAAUAUAAAAUCAAUACAAGUUAAAAUUUGUGAAAUUGUGGAAUCAAAAGGCACUUUUAGUAUAUAUUGGAAUUUAUGGAAUUGUGGAAAGUGUCUCUUGAAGAAACACCUUUAGAAUAAAUCCAAUUUUGUGGGAAUGGUAGAAGGUGUCUUUUGAAAAUACACCUUCAAUAUAAAAUCAAAUUUAAGAGACACAUAGUAGUAUAAAUUAAAAUUUAUGAAAUUAUGGAAGAGACACCUUCAAUAUAAAUCCAAUUUUUUGGGAAUAGUAUAAUGUUUCUUUUUAAGAGACUCAUUUAGUAUAUAUUAGAUUUUGUGGAAUUGUAGAAGGUGUCACUUGAAGACAUGCUUUCAGUAUAAAUCCAAUUUUUUUUGAAUUGUAAAAUGUAUCUUUUGAAGAUUCAAUAUAAAAUCAAAUUUAAGAGACACAUGAUAUAAAUUAAAAUUUGUGAAAUAGUGAAAAGUGUCUCUUGAAAAAACACUUUUAGUAUAUAUUGAAAUUUAUAGAAUUGUGGAAAGUGUCUCUUCAAGACACACCUUUAGUAUAAAUUCAAAUUUUUUGGAAUCGUAAAAGGUGUCUCCAAACACCUUUAAUACAUAUUGGAUUUUGUGGAAUUGUGGAAAGUGUAUUUUCAAGAGACACCUAAAAUUCAAUUUUCUAAAAUUAUAGAAGUCAAGAGAUACAUUUAGGUUAAAUUCAAUUCUUUUAAAUAUGUAUCAUGAUUUUGAAAAUUUUGGAAGGUGUUUCUUCAAAAGACACCUUCCACGUGGCAAAAAACUGUCGUAGAUCUAUCAAUAUUUUUUCAACUACCAUUUUUUAAAAUUGCUGCAAAAGUUAAAAAAGCCCGUAUAGAAGUAGUGUUAUUAAGUAUCAAACUUUAAAGUAAACAAUUCUAAAAGCAUUUUUUAAAUAUUUUAUGGGAUACUAUUUUUUAAAAAUAAUAUUAAUUAAAUAAAAAAUCCUAACACUAAAACCCAAUACAUGUAUGUAUAGGCAUCCGUUGCCAAGCUGAUUUUUUAAGGAAAGGAAUUGAAUAUUAAGGAGAAUUGUGUUUUGGAGUCAAUUGAGCCCAAAAAUUAAGACUUGACCCAUGAAAGUUACAUAAUUGAUGAGAAUGAUAUAAAAUAUGAAAAGACUAAUAUACCCUUCAAAACUAUUUUAAGUAUUUUCUACCACAAUGUUUGACAAAUUUUUUUAUUUUAAUUUUUUUAAUAAUUAUUCUAAAAAUUUAUUAUUUUUAGAAACUAAUUUUUUUUAAAAAUAUAAUUCUAAAAACAUAUCAUUUUAAAAAAAUAAUUUUGACAUAUUUUUAGUUAUUUUUUACCUACAUAAUUUUAAAUAUAUAUAUUUUUCAAGAUGUUUGAUUUUUAAAUAAUAAUAAUAAUAAUAAUAAUAAUAAUUUAUUUUUAGUUUUUUUUAAAAGGGGCAUUUUUUUUCCAAAUCACUGAAUUAAAUUAAAAUUUAUUGAGGUUUACAAAAGAAAUAAAAUUUAAAUUAAUAUUUUUCUACUUUUUUUUCAUCUUCAAUAAAUGUUAUUUUUGGAAAAAUAAAAAAUCUAUAUCCUUCAUCUCAAUUUCCAUACUUCUUUUUAGUCUUGGGCUUAAAUAGUGAAUUUAUAUGGACUAAAACUUAAUUUUUAAACUCAAUUAGGUCUAAAACACAAUUAUACCUAAAUAUUAAUUCUCAUAUGGUCUCUCUCUCCUCCUCUCUCUCUCAUAUUCUUUGAAGAAUCUAUAAUCUAUAGAGUUGACUUUUUUAAUGCCCAUGAGCAGCUGAUUUUUGAAGGAAAGUGAUUGAAUAUUAAUGGUUGUGAGACCCAUUCUCAUAUGUUCUCUCUUCCUCUCCCCCUUUCUCUCUCAUAUUCUAUGAUAGAAUCCAUAGUCAAUAGGGUUGAUUUUUUUUUUUUUAAUGCCCAAGAGCAGCUGAUUUUUGAAGGAAAGUGAUUGAAUAUUAAGUUGUGAGACCCACUCUCAUAUGUUCUCUCUAUCUCCCCCUCUCUCUCAUAUUGUAUUAUAGAAUCUAUAAUCUAUAGGGUUGAUUUUUCUUUUUUUAACGCCCAUGAGCAGCUGAUUUUUGAAGGAAGGUGGUUGAAUCUUAAUGGGUUGUGAGACCCAUUAAUAUAGAGAGGAACUCAAAAUCCUAAUAAAAAUGUAUUUCAAUUAAUAAUGGAUUUUUAAUUCAUAUGCUCAUUUUUAAUAAUUAAUUCAAAUAAAAUAACAAAUUAAAAGUAAAAUUGAUUUUUUAAUUUCAUUUUUUAUUUCAAUGUCUCAAAUAUAUACAAAAAAUAUGAUGAUUAUUUUCAAGGUUUAUAAAACAAUUCUACAAAAAUAGAUUUUUAAAAAAUAUUUAAAAAUAAGGUGUUUGAUAAAUCAACUUAAUUACUUAAUUUAAAUAAUUAAAUAAAUUAGAUAUAUUUUUUAAAAUAAUUUAAUAUUAAAAUUAUUUUUAAUUUUUAAUAUUAAAUUAAACUAAUUAAUUUAUAUUUUAUUUCAAAACCUUUUUACCUCAUUUUCCCAUACCAAUGCAAAAUAAUUAACAUAUAUACCAAACCUUGGCUCACGAGUUUCAAUGGUAAAAUGACAAUUUUAUCCAGUAGGAUGAAGGGUUUUGGCCCACCACAAUAAACCUUAGGGCCUGCCUACUUUGUUGGCGGCUGCCACCGUGGAGCCAGACACUUUUGUUAGGCGGGGCAUCAAGAGAAUUAUUAAUAUAUUAUAGUUAAGGUAAUUAAUGAUAUUUAUUAUUAUUAAAAUUAAAUAAUUUUAAAUAUUAAUUGUUAAAAUGUAUCAAAUUAAACAACCAAUAUUUUUUUAAAUAAAUUAGAUUUUAUAAAAACAUUAUCAAGAAGAUUUAAAAGGAAAUUUCAAAAUAAAUAAAAACUAGAAAAAAAAAUAUUAGAAAUUUUGAAUAAUUUUAAUUAUUUUGUAGUAAAAAACCAUAAAAUUUAUUUUAAAGAAUUCAAUCAUUUAUAUUAUAAGUUUUGAUAUUUUUCAUGAAAAAUUGUGCUCCGAGGAUUAAAAUUUUUAUAGAUAUCAAAAUUAAUAUCUUAAUUUUUUUUCAAAUAACUAAAUAUAAGAUAGUUGAAAUGAAAUCUUUUACUUAAAACUUAUGUUUUAUAUAAUACGUCAUUACGAAGCAUGUUAAAAGUUUUAUUUUUUAUGAUUUAGUUAAGUCUAAUAAAAAACAAGUAUAAAAAUGAAAAAUUUUGAAUAAACAAAAAGAAAGAAAUACCAACAUUAAAAGCGAUUUUUUUUAAUUUUAGUUCAAUUUUAAUAUUUGAUUAGUAAUUAAUAAUCAAUAUUAUUUUUUUGAUAAUAAUAUUUAGUUGUCAUUGUUUUAAAUUUUAUAUUUAUAUUUUUUUAGAGGGGAUAAAUUUUCUAUUUUGGUUUUUAUUUUCCUAAAAAAAUUUAACAUAUAAAAUUGACGGUGUGGGGUACACGUGGCCCCCAUGAGCCUGACUUGAAUGGCAAGCAGGACUCAUUUUCUAGAAAAAAAAAAUUGUUUCUAGAAAAUUGAGGGUUGGGGAAUGGGGACGGGACAUGUGACCCCCCUGAGCCUUACUUGGGUGGCGGCAGGGCGCGUUUUCUAGAAAAAGUUACGUCCAACUAGUCCGGGGUCUUUCCAACUUUUCCUUCUUUCCAUUCAAAAAAGGCAUACUAUCACAAGUCGAUAAGACAUACAAAUUACCCAAAACCACCAAUUGCCCAAGGCACCAAAACAAGUAAUCUGGAGGGGCAUUUUGGUCAUUAUCUUUAGAAAAUUUCCCCAUUGUGACGUGUCUUCGAGCGGUUGGCAACUAGGACUUGGUCUUUGCGCAGUUGGUAACUAUGACGCCUUGGAAAUUGGAAAAAUAUUAUUCUACGGAAAAUGAAACAUUCAAUAUAUGUAUAUAUAGCCUAGGUGUUCUGAGCAAAUGUAGAUAACUCAGGUUUUGUGAGCAAAGGCACAUCAUAACUCAAGUUUUGUGAGCAAAGGGUGUGCACAGUAGCCAUGGCUAAAGCUCUCCUCAUUUCACCUUCUUACUUCAUCUUCCUCGUCUUCCUCAUUUUCUCCUAUGCCACAAUCCCAGUUUUCGGAGAAGAAUACAGUUAUGUCAAAACUAUCGAUCUUGAGAAAAUGAAUCUGCCGAAGGAAAAGGUAACACACUUUCAACUUUAUUGGCAAGAUGUUGUUAGUGGGUCUAAUGCAACCUCAGUUACAGUGAUUGAAGCACUGAAUAACUCAACAUUUUUUGGUUCGGUAAAUAUAAUUGAUAACUCGUUGACCGUUGGGCCAAAUUUGAGCUCAAAAACAGUUGGAAAAUCCCAAGGGUUAUACGCAUCUACAGGACUAGAAGAAUCUUCAUUAUUGAUGGUUAUGAAUUUUGCAUUCACCGAUGGCAAGUAUAACGGUAGCACAUUUACCGUGGUAGGACGAAACAAUGUAAAUGCUGAAGUGAGGGAGAUGCCAAUAAUUGGUGGUAGUGGGCUUUUCCGAUUUGCUAGAGG